ACCGUGCGAGGCCUUUUUGUUUGGGAUGAUCCAUUUUAAGUGUCAAUACUAAGAUCAUCCUAAAAAUCUGUAAUAUUAUGAUUAUUCUAUUUCAUCAGACAAUCAUUUACUACAAAUAAAGAAAGAAAAUAAAAAGAUACCACUUAACAUAGAUAAAUAGCAGUAUGGUAUAAAGAAUAUACUUUUAACACUUAACAACUUGGAAAGUAACUUUCACUCUAGACGGACAAUAGGUAAAUGCAUUAGAACAAGGUGAUGGUUGUGGAAAGACACUAUCUGGAGCAUGUAGAUUCAAGAUGUCACUCAUGAUUAGGUGAUGGUUGGAGUUAAGAUGUUGAUCAGCUUCUCGUCUUCUCAUUCUUUUCCUAUUUUUAUUUUUAUUUUGUUUAACAGCUCUUCUACACUUUGGCUUUGAAUCAGUGGAAGCACUUCUAUUAUUGCUGCCACAUUUACUAUUUCCUAAUUUGUUAUUCAGGAGAAUGAUAUAAAGUGUAGAUCAUGAGAGGUACUGCCUAACAUGACCAAUAAUUCAGAAGGGGAAAAAAGUGGUUAACAUUUGCGAGUAAUGACAUACAUGGCCUAAAUGGAUAAUCAACAUUGAGUUGUGUAUUCACUGUUUUUGUCUGUUAUAAUUUUGUUUAUAAUAUAUAGUAGACAAAAAAUUACUCUGUUAAACUAAAUAUGUAAUAAAGUUUAUUCAAUCACAUCAUCCUUUCACUAAACUAAAUAUAGGAUAAAAUUUAAUCAACAUCAUCUCUUCACUAAGGAGUAAAGAACACUUAUAUAAUAGAGUGCACACAAGAAUAUGAGAUAGAAUAUAUAUCAUCACAAUGCUGCUGCAAAAAAAGUCUUUUUUUGUGACCAUCAACGAUGUUGCUGCUAUAUUAAAUGCAUAAGCCGCUCUCUAAUCACACAAAAAGAGUAGAGCAGGAAAUCAUAAUAGAGCAGAACAAAUAUACUAACACUAAUAUUGCAACACUUCUGUAUAAUUGAAAGAAACUAAGAUUUAACAGGAAUUUUUACCACUAUGCAAUACAAAUAGCCGAGAUCAAUAAUAAUCUAAUUUAGUCAAAACUCCAUAUCACUAAACUAUAAUCAACAUUUAAAGAUAUUGUUAAUGAAGUUCGUUAUCAUUAUUAAACAUAUAAAUAAAAGGGCAUUCUUGUUCUCCAUAUAAAACACAUCCUUAGUUUCUCAAACUUUUUCACGCUGUUAUGUUCCUUCAAAUUUUGCACGCCCUUUUGUUCCUUUUCCACACCAUCUCCCAUCGAGNNNNNNNNNNNNNNNNNNNNNNNAGGGAAAAAAUUGUGUCCUUGAGUGAAGGUGUAAUUGUACAUUUAGAUCAUGCAAUUGAACGAUCACAAGAUAUUCACUUCCCAUUUUUGUUUUAAAAAAAAUUCAUGUCCUUGGUAAUAUUUACUAUGAGAAUUACCGACCUGUUGAGAUAGCACCAUUUCCUGAAGCCGUGGGGGUGGGCAAUGUCUCCCUAUAGUACCUUUUUUCAAACACUUCAUGGGCGUCGAAUAAGCAUCUCAUGUUUGGUUCUUUUAAGGAUAUUUUAUCCGGUUCUCCAGUAAUGUAAUGGUAGCAGCGAAGUGAUUUAAAGAUGGAGUCGAAUAAAAAACCAAAAUGCAUAUAACUGGAGGCAAAGUGAAAAAGACAAUGAGGGAAGAACAU
rnacentral:lncRNA from 1 species